GUGACCCCAGGAUGGGCGAGGCCACCCGCUGAGUUUAAGCAUAUCAAUAAGCGGAGGAGGAAAAACCUUACA
rnacentral:rRNA from 1 species